GACGAACGCUGGCGGCGUGCCUAAUACAUGCAAGUAGGACGCAGUUGCGAACGGGUGAGUAACGCGUAGGUAAAUGCCUGUUAGAGGGGGAUAACUAUUGGAACCGAUAGCUAAUACCGCAUACUAGUAGAUGGACCUGCGUUGUAUUAGAUAGUAGGUAGGGUAAUGGCCUACCUAGGCGACGGUACAUAGCCUGCCUGAGAUGGUGAUCGGCCAAAAUGGGACUGAGACACGGCCCAGACUCCUACGGGGAGCCGCAGUAGGGAAUCUUCGGCAAUGGGGGGAACCCUGACCGAGCCACGCCGCGUGAGUGAAGAAGGGUUUCGGAUCGUAAAGCUCUGUUGUUAAGGAAGCGGUACUUAACCAGAAAGGGACGGCUAACUACGUGCCAGCAGCCGCGGUAAUAC
rnacentral:rRNA from 1 species